AAUCGCUUGAACCCAUGAGGCGGAGGUUGCGGUGAGCUGAGAUCCAGCCACUGCACUCCAGCCUGGACGACAGAGCCAGACUCUGUCUCAAAAAACAAACAAACAAACAAACAAAAAGAUGGGAGUUUGGAUAAUUUAAUUGUAUUAUAUUUCUGUAGCCCAAAUUUUUUAUUACGAACCAUGCUUUAUAAGCAGGCCAAAAUAUUAUUUUUAAAAGAAUGAUCUGUUCAGGAUAGUGAUUGCGUCCUUUUUCGUUUGGCUGUGACAAGGAUAGCACACUGUUUACACUCAGCGCUGAACAAUAAAUCAGCCUGAGGAUUUCCUUUCCUCACACGCAUCCUUCCCUAGCAAUUUCCUCUUGUGUUCAAUGCGGAUUCCAUCAAUAGCACGACAUUUUCUAGGCCAUAAUUUUGGCAAAUAAAUCAUACUAAUCUCUACAUACCUUUAGAAGCAAAAUCCAACACAGUCACGUGGCUUGAGCAGGUCAUGGUAGGCACGCUUCAUCCAUCUUCAUUAUCAUAAACAGAUCUGAGUGACCUUUGUAAAGAAAUUGAAUCAUUUAACAGAAUAUUUAUUACCAUUUUUGUUUUUUGUUGUAUUUGCUUGACUUCGCUUCAUUACUAACUUGUCUGUUCUUUCCUCAGUAAUUUUUUACUCUUUUAAAUGGGGAAAAAGAAAGAGGCUUAGUCUCGUGUUAAGGCCAUACCCCAAAGAAAGGGAGCUAGAUGCCUUCUCUGGCUUCCUCUUUUCUCAACAGCCACGCCUCCGCCUACCAGCCAGGUUCUGCAGUGGGUGUUUUAGCAUCUUUCAGUCAUUCGGUCAGUCACUCAACAAACACUAACUGAUGCCGGGUGCCAGGGCUGGGGUUUCAGAUGUGCACUUAGCUCACACUUGAAAAGGAUUCCCAUUCCAGCCACAGAGUGACCUUCUG
rnacentral:lncRNA from 1 species